rnacentral:rRNA from 1 species
AUGUCCAACGGCGGCGCACGCACGCCGUCGACGCCACCCGACGGACAGGGCGGGGGACGCGGUACCACCGGCGACACGGACGGAGCUGCGGCGCGGCCACGAGAACGGAGUCGUGGCCGCAGCGUCGUCAGACGCGGCGGAAACGAGGUCAUCGUGCACAAGCGCGUGGUGCAGGAUCGCUCGUACUACAGCAGCAACAUCGUCUACCCCACGCUGACGGCGACGAACUACAUCGAGUGGGCCCUCGUUAUGAAGAUCAACCUGCGGGCGCAGGGUCUCUGGGAGGCCGUGUCUGGCAUGGGCGAGCCGGGCGAUCGAGAGGACAUGGCGGCACUCUCGGUGUUGAUCCGGGCGGCACCGCCUGAGAUGACGCCGGUACUCGCCGUCAAGGACACUGCGCACGAGGCGUGGGAGGCGAUCCGUAUGAUGCGCGUGGGCAUGAACCACGUGCGGGAGGCGGCUGCGCAAAGAGUUCGGGCAGAUCACCUUCAAGGAGGGUGA